rnacentral:lncRNA from 1 species
UCCCGAUGGUGAAAUACAGGCACAGCCUUUUCUAAAAGCAGAAAAUCAGUGUCAGAGCUGUUUUGGGACAGGGCAAUGCCCAGCAGCGUGGAUACCCCCCUUACUCUCUCCUCUUUCUUAAAGACGCCACUCCCGGCUGCCCGGAGCCUGCUUCGCCUCCUUCUUCCCUCAAAUCGAUGAAAAUCGUUCCAAAUGGAGCGAAAAUUUGGUUAUUUAUGCAGAGAAAAGCUUUUAAGACUCCACGGCCGCGGGCUCAGAAGUGCGUGCCAAGAACUGCAUCACAUCGAUUGCAACGAAACCCUGGCAAAACUGGAGCUGGCCCUCGAAAUCCAUUAGUGCCCUCGGAAAUCGGGGGGCUGGGAGCGUGGCGGUGGAAAAGCCCAUCCUUUGGAACUCGGCUCUCCAGCCCCACAUCCAGGAUUUCCUUGGGGAAGGACUGGUCCAGCCCAAGCAUUUCGGGGGAGCCUGGCAAGGUCACUCCAAUGCCUCUAAUCCUGUUUGACACCCUGAGGGGAAUAAAAGUCACAGUAUUACUGAAUAUGACACUCCCAACACAUCGCAGACCCCUGUUGUGAGGGCUGCCCAGCCCUGGACACCAGUUUGGGCUCAUCAGGGAAACACUCAAAUUUACCAGAAUUCCCAAAUGUUUGAAAUGGACUUCCAAAACCGAGGAUUUCAUGUGGAAAAGAGCAUUCUGGUGCCAUUUCUUUUGAGACUGGUUUACAAACAUUUCUGCUGUGAGACACGGGACACCUCAAAAAUGAGAAAAGAAGGAAGACAACGUGUGCUUGGACUGAUCCACACAAACCCCUGUGGAGACCCUGGAAACCCAAACCUGGCAUGAGUUGUCAGCCUCAGAGCAGGAUGGAAGAAGAUGUCAAGCAAAC